GCCCUUGUAGUUCAAUGGAUAGAACAGCGGACUUCUAAGCCGUCGAUGUAGGUUCGAUUCCUACCAGGGGCA
rnacentral:tRNA from 1 species